GUGGCUGUAGCUCAACGGCAGAGCACCCGGCUGUGACCCGGGAGGCAGCGGGGUCGGCACCCGUCAGUCACCCCA
rnacentral:tRNA from 1 species